CUCUAGAUAGUCAAGUUCUGAUCCA
rnacentral:piRNA from 2 species